CGCCAGACUCCUACGGGAGGCAGCAGUGAGGAAUAUUGGUCAAUGGGCGGGAGCCUGAACCAGCCAAGCCGCGUGAGGGAAGAAGGUACAGCGUAUCGUAAACCUCUUUUGUCAGGGAACAAAGGCGGGGACUAGUCCCCGGAUGAGGGUACCUGAAGAAAAAGCAUCGGCUAACUCCGUGCCAGCAGCCGCGGUAAUACGGAGGAUGCGAGCGUUAUCCGGAUUUAUUGGGUUUAAAGGGUGCGCAGGCGGCUUUUAAGGUCGGCGGUAAAGCCCGGGGCCCCACCCCCGGCGAGCCGUUGAAACUGGCGGGCUGGAGUUGGAGAGAAGUACGCGGAAUGCGCGGUGUAGCGGUGAAAUGCUUAGAUAUCGCGCAGAACCCCGAUUGCGAAGGCAGCGUACCGGCUCCACACUGACGCUGAGGCACGAAAGCGUGGGUAUCGAACAGGAUUAGAUACCCGUGUA
rnacentral:rRNA from 1 species